rnacentral:rRNA from 1 species
GAUGAACGCUAGCGGGAGGCUUAACACAUGCAAGCCGAGGGGUAUGAUACUUUCGGGUAUCGGAGACCGGCGCACGGGUGCGUAACGCGUAUGUAACUUGCCCUGAUCAGUAGGAUAGCCCAGGGAAACUUGGAUUAAUACUGCAUAACACUAUUUGUGGCAUCAUAAAUAGUUGAAAGAUUUAUCGGAUCAGGAUAGACAUGCGUCAGAUUAGCUAGUUGG